CAACUUGAGGAAUGAAGGUAUGAACGACUAAGCUGACAUCUUCCUGUACAGAAUUUUAUCCUGUGUGCAGUAGUGCCCCUGUGAAUGUCUGUGGAGUGAAUGAGAAACAAACGUGAUUCUCCAUCUGGGAGGCCAUUUCUGAAUGUCCAAGCCCAGCUCAGAUGUCAUCUGCACCAUGAAGUCCAAACACCUUUGUGAGCCUUCUCUAAAGGAUUUAUUACGUUAUUCCCUGUGUUACAGUAAUUUGGCAGAAAAUCUACACUUGAGGAAAACUUGGCAUCACAAAGUUGCUUGGUAAG